rnacentral:rRNA from 1 species
CUACGAGCCAUGCCACCCUGAACACGCCUGACCUCGUCUAAUCUCAAGCUAAGCAGGAUUGGGCCUGGUUAGUACUUGGAUGGGAGAAGCAAUGCCACAGUGAAACAACUUGUGGUUACCUUGU